rnacentral:tRNA from 1 species
GGGGAUUUGGCUCAGUGGUAGAGUGCUUGCCUAGGAAGCACAAGGUCCUGGGUUCAGUACCCAGCCCCG